rnacentral:ncRNA from 2 species
AGGAAGCCGGUGUGAAUCCGGCGCGGUCCCGCCACUGUCACCGGGGAGCGCCACCCCCCGACGAAGCCACGGCCCGCACGGGCUGGAAGGCCGGGGGCGGUGUGGAUCCGGGAGCCAGGAGACU